GGGCUCGCUUCGGCAGCACAUAUGCUAAAGCUGGAACAAUAUAGACCAGAUUAGCAUGGCCCCUGUGCAAGAGUGAACACAGUUUCAUUGAUAACUGUUUGUACUAAUU